AUAUAUAUAUAUAUAUAUAUAUAUAUAUAUAUAUAUAUAUAUGUGUGUGUGUGUGUGUGUGUGUGUGUAUUUAUGUAUAUUUAAUUUAAUCAUAAACAUUCUCUCUUUGUUUACUUCCCUCCAGAGUACUUUUCUUUUUCACUUUUCCUUGAACACCCUAUUCAUCAUUAAGUAUAAGGACACAUUCUUUUCUUUCAUUUUAUAAUUAAAGUCUAAUUUCAUGAUUCCCUUACUUUGCAGAAUACCAAAGUUGGAAAAUGUCUUUUCUCUUCUUGAACAACCAGGAAAGAUGAGAUAUUGAGAUUCACAGAUAUAUCAUAAAAAUUCUGAAGCUCCAAAUUAUUCAUCCAGCAUAAACGGCAAGAUUGGGAUGGCUUGCAGAAGUCAUUAAGCUAAUAUGUAAAAUCCAGUAAAAGUUCUAAGGCGGUUCUAACAACGUUCAGAAAGUUUGCAAUAAUCCGUCAACGUUUUUCAUGACAUGAUCAAGACCCUGUAAACCUCUUUAAAUUUAUACAGAGUUCCUCUCUGGCCACCUUUCUGCACAGGCACUACUUUAGUAUAAUUAACACCCACAAGGCAUACAUUAAUCUAUGGUUCUUCGUCUUCCUAUCAGCAUAGCCACAUACAAAAUAGCUAAGGAUACGAAUGAAAUCUUGCCCUACACGUUCCUGGACGCAAUUCUUGAAAUAUUCUUCUGAAUACAUUAAUUCAAUGCUAACCUCAGUACCCCAAAGUUUCCUUGCAUAUGUGUGUUAUGGGUUUGUUUCCUAGUGUCCCGUUAAUGGGAACUAUCCACAUGAUUGAAGAUGUGCUCUGUGAAUUGCUACUGAUUGCUUAAUGAGACACUUUUUAUCCCAUGGUAGAGAACUCUACUAAUAAGGAGAUAGUGUAGAUGUCGAAUUUUCCUUUAUUGUAUUCUGGUAAUGUAUCGUCUACUUAGAUGUAGUGUAGGAAGGAGCGGUUUCCGCCAAAGCCAGAUUGGCAUUGAUAAUAAGUACUUAGAUGACAAUCUUUUACUUAUCAGGAAGUAGACCGAAUUGAAGAAUAUCACGCCUGAAUUCCAACAGAAACAUUACUGGUUCGUGGUUCCGACAUCGAUAAGUGCGUCUUUACUUUUGUUAUAUGAAGGUAUAUUAUGAGUGUAUCCAGUUUUGGACCUCUGCGUUUUUUAAGCUUAUGAAUUCUGUAAGAUAUUCUCAGGCAAAAUAUGGCUACCGUGAGGCAUAUAGUCAAUCCUCUAUUGUAUAUACAUUGUCCUUCACUCUCAUAAAGUUACUUUAAAUAUGUCAUGAUGUUUUGAAUUUGACCAUAUCUGUCAAACAGAAACGACAGUAAUUCUCCAAACUAAUGGCAGAUGCUUACAUUAAAAAAGAGAGUAUUCUUUAAUAGAAGUCUAGAUAGUUACGAGCGAAGCGAAGUCUACUGAAAACUGGCUUAUUUCUAGCGGUGCCAGGCCUUAACACUAUUCAAAUGCAAAUAUCGCCAAAAGUAUUGAAGAUAAACGAAACUUAUUUCGGCAGAUAAAACUUUAUCACUUUAAAUUUCAUGCCAUACAAGAUUUAUCUUUAAAAUAUCAUAAAUUCACAUUUAAAUAAAUUUUUAAUUAUUGCAUUUAUGGCGGUUGGGCACAGCCCAGCCCGGCCCUAACUCUAUUCAAAUGCUAAUGUCUCCAAAAGUAUUGAAGAUAAAAGAAAAAUAUUUCGGUAGAUAAAACCUUACAUCUUUAAAUUUCACCCCAUAUAAGAUUUAUUUUUUAAAUAUUAUAAAUUCACAUUUAAAUUAUGUUAACCCCCUUGAAGCUUCGCGAGUUACCGCCUUCAGGGCGCCCUGCCGGUAAUAAAAGUGUAGUAAUGGCAUUGAUAUCAUUAACUUUAAGCACUAAGAAAAGUGUUUAAGGAUAUAAUAGGGGAAAAGGAGCUAGGUCUGCAAAGCUAAAAAUAUGCCAUCCAUAAUUAUAGGAACAAGGAUAGUAGCUUGCAGAGUUAAAGAAAAACUAACUAACGGUUGCAUAUAGCUUCACUUCAUCAAAAGGAAUUCUAGAAUCAUUAGUAAAAUGUAUUCUUCUUAAAACAUGUACAAUACAAACUCAGUUAUAUUAUCAUGGUAAAAAUGGAACAAACACCUGUCUAAAGCAUACUUUCGCACAUCAGACAACAGCCUACAACAGACCUUCUUUGUCCACUUUGAGCGUUCUUUUCUGCGAACAAUGAUAUCAGAAGUCGUGGCUGUUGUAGUAAUGUUCCUCAUAACACCCGAGACGUCAUCCAUCAAGCUGCAAAGAUUCGCACGAAGAACUCACAAGAUGUUAAAAAUGAGGUGACGCUGAUACGGAACUAGAGUCCUUUGUAUGAAAAAUUAUUAGAUCAUUGGAGCCUCUACUCCUUUGAAGAAAUAGUAGAUGGUUACACUUAAAACCUUGUCAUUUCCUUUCACAUUAUUAUUAUUAUUAUUAUUAUUAUUAUUAUUAUUAUUAUUAUUAUUAUUAUUAUUAUUAUUAUUAUUAUUAUUAUUAUUAUGUUAAACCUCAAAGUGCUUCAACUAUUUCUUUCGUUAUUAUCAGUAAUAUCGUUGUUUUAAAAUUUUUUGUUUUCCUUGCUAUUAUCGCCAUUAUGAUUUCGGAAAACAGGGCAGUUGGAAAGGCUAUAAUUUUUCUUGUAGUUGACAUUCCACUGCUGAAGCACAAUGAAAGUUUUAUGUAUACUCAGUUGCUUUAAUAAAAAUGUGAAGUCCUACUAUAGCAGAACUUCAGUUAAAAACUUCCAUGGAGACUCAGAA